UUGGACUUGGAUGAUGGUACACAUGAUAAGGUCAUGUUCUCUUUUCGUAAUGAGGGUGAGAUAUCUGUCUCUCGAUUAGUAGUGGAUGAUGAUGGCGAUAUAAGCAUCUCUUACGAAAAAUGGUUGGGGAUUUUUCGCUUGCUCUGUACCUUCGUGUGUAAACAUUCUCCAUCGUCAUACACCUUUGUCGAUCUUGGAGAUAAAACUGUUGCCUUUGUUGUGUGUGCAAACAUGUUUUCUGGGAUCAAGGCUCUUGGGAAGGUGCGUGUUGUUGUCGUAGUAAUUUGCUAUGAUGUGUUGGGCUCAAAAAAAAUCACAAGUGAGAUCCUGGCCACUCGCACAUUUGAGUACAAUUGUCAUUCCUCGGGCGUCAUGUAUACUAAGUUUACCAGUGGCUUUGUGCUCUAACUCAAUCCAUCCAUUGGUAAUUCCUCCUCUUUCUCUUCAGUAUAAAUGUUUAGAGUGAGUGCUAUCUCAAACCAAGAAUUAAUGUUAGACAUGGUUGGUCCUUAUAUAUAGGUCUUUAACUUGUACUGAAUCUAGCUAGCUAUUGCCCAUAUUCAAGAAGUUGUGGACUAGUCGUGACAAUCAUGUGCAGCAACCCUAUUUAUUUCCUCCGAUCAAAAGACAGCAUGAAUGAGAUGCACAUUGCACACACAAUGCACAUUGUACUUUUCUCUUGAUCUUCAGGAUCUGGUUUGUAAAUUUGCGGUGUUGGUGUGCACCUUGUCUGUAACAGAAUAUUUGGAUCAAUAUUUAUCUUUCUAGACGAACCAACAACGGGCCACUCAAGUUGUAUUUUCUUUACCAGCAUAUUAGAUGUUGUUAAGAUAAAUAUUCCUUUUUGUGGGUAUAUUGAAUUCUGCUGUUCUAUCAUUCUGUAUGGAAAAUUGGAACAUUGAAAGAUAUGGACAAGGCACAUGAAUCAAUUAUGUGUUUAGGAAAGCCGAUCAUGCUUUUAGAAACUUUGUUAGUCGGUAAUGUCUGUCUGCACUGUGAUUGUAUUUUGAAGUUAUUGUUGUGCAUGUCUCAAUGUUAAGGUCUGACAGUGUAUUUAAAAUAGAAAACUAGAGAAGUUCAUUAGAACCUAAGCUGCAUGUAAUGGACAAUGCCUACAUUGAGUUAUGAUAAUUAGAAAUGGAAAGAAAUUAGGCUUAUGGAAAUACCUCCAUAGAUUUCUAUCAAUUGAUCUUGUAAAGAUUACCUAAAGGAGGGUUUUGGGGGAAGAGGCCGACGAACAAAACGAUGAUCUCUACUGAAAUAAUUGGGCUCUGUAUCUAAUAAUGGGCUAUGGGUCAGGGCAAAUCUGGAACUGGGCUCCGGUCCAACCCAAGACAUGACAAAACAAAACCCUAAUCGGAGAUCUUGCAAGUCCUCGAGCCAUGUCGUAUCCUGAGGAGAAUGAGAUUCGCUCCAUACGGGUCGACGGAUUGCCGCCGACGAACGAUGCGAUUUAUCUCUUCAGCUGCUUCCAUGACAACGCCAAGGUAUCUCUCUAUUUAUAUAUUUAUUUGAGGAAAAAUCAUUGAAACUGAACCUUGGAAUUCUCUCUAGGUUUUGGCUGCAACGGUUUUGCGUAACUGGCUAACACAAGUGCCGCUAGAUUAUGGUUUUGUGGAGUUUGCUUCUCGGAGAGAUGCUGAGUUUGUCUUGGAAUCCUACAAUGGUGAGCGGAUGCCCAACUUGAGUCAUGAGAGGAGAUUCUGCCUCAGCUGGGACACUGAUGGUUCCGGUACUAGGUGGCGCUGGGAUUAUUUUUACCAAGGUUGCUCUUUCUUUGGUUAUAAUGAUAUUGGUAAAGAUCUGGAUGCCUAUACAGUGAUCAAGGAGCUGCAAUGUAUGUAUUCUAGCCUUGUAUUUCGUUCACUCUUAAAUCAUAAUGUUUUAUAAUUAUAUACUUAGGUUCAUGUCUAUCCUUUACACUAUAAUUUGCUUUCAAGCAGCCAUGAAUAUUGUAUGUCGAGUUUUCUAGUGUGUGCAUGUGUUUCUGAGUAUGUGCUAAAUUAGAACUGUUUUAUUAAGCAUGUGUUUCGAGUGUUCUAUGCUUAAUAACUGCCUACACCAGUGCUUACGUGCUCUUAUCUUGUGCAGCUGCCUGCCCAAAUACGUGUGGAGAUUCAGGGGACACAGAAAACCAGCUAGAUCAUGCAAAGUCGAAUGGUUUAAGUCCUGAUGGCUAUUUGGAAACGGAUGUUGACAAGCGUUUGAAGCUUACGGACAUGCCUCUCACUCAUCCAAACAUGUAUCAACAAGGAUGUUCCGGCCCUAGUCUUACAAACCAACAGGUUGUUUAUUCAGACCUUUCAUCCUCCUUGGCUCUUUUCAUUGAUGCAUGUUAACAGCCUUUUCUCUGUUGAUUCAGAACCAACCAGACCCGAUGCAGUGGAAUGGUGCUUGUGGUGCUGCAUAGGAAAUACCGACUUGACCGGUGUCCUUGUGGUCUAACUCAAUCCAUCCAUGAUCCAUAUAUUGGUAAUUCCUCCUCCUCUUUAUCUUCCGUAGGUAUUAAAGUUUAGAGGGAGUGCUGGUCAAACCAAUAAUUACACUUGUUAAUGUUAAACAUGGUUGGUCCUUAUUGCUUUCUUUGCAUUUGGUUUGUACAUUGUUCACUAUAAACUAAAGAACAGAAAGUUCCGUUGUAGUUUGAUUGAUCACCCCCACCCCAUUUUUAUCAAGAGAAAUAAGCUAUUUUACACUAUGAGCAGUCGAUCUGUGCAUUCAAUGUAGAAGUAAGUAGGCGUCACAGAAGCCUUUAUGCAUUCCAUCCAUGGAUUUGAAAUAUUUAGAUUCAGAUUACGACUUAGAAUGCAUGGUGAUCGAUAUCAUUUAUGUCUUGUAACUGUUGUUUUGAUCCAUUUGCAGGUAUUGUGGUCUGGCAGAUGAGAAUCACAGGUUGGGACUUCUGAGAGUGUCCUUGUGAAAUAGGAAAGUUGAAUGGAGAUCAUUUAUCAAUGCAAUGGACGUGCUUAUAAGAACUUAGGUAGUCGGUUAUGUCUGUUUGUGAGUUUGGGGAACUGGAAUUGGUGCACUGUGAUUGUGUUUUGAAAUUAUUAUUGUGCAUGUAGAAUCAAUUAAUUUGUCUGUUUUGCGAUUCUGAUGAGGUCUGACAGUUUACUUAAAAUAUAAGUUAAUUAGAACCUAAAAUACAUGCCUACAUAGAACUAUACUUCAGGCAGGAAAAAAAAAAUGUUCGACUCUAGUGGACUCCCAAAUUAGAGCUACACACAAAAAUGUUGAGCCCCUUUUCGACAACAGCAUCGUGGAUGAGUUUGAGUGACUCUUCUAAAUCAUCCAACAACUUUUCAGGAUCAGGAAUCACAUUGGGGUCAACAACUAAGCUCACCAAAAUGCAGCAACAAUUUUUAGCGAAAGUUGAGAGAACAAAAUGAUGAAACCUUUUUUAUCAAUUGGUUUAAAAUCAGUACCAGAAGUAUAAACGAAAAUAGAGAACCUACAUGGGGGUGGCCGUAAACAUUAGGAGCAGUAAUAGCUAAUUUCUUCAAGGGGACCAAUCAAGUUUGUGAAGGCUAGUGUCGAGUUACAAAGAACUCUGUGUGCUACUGCUCUUGCUCCCUGUAAGACCAUACGUACCAGAGCAUGAAGCAGCUGUAACUGUGUAACUCAAUAUGAAUUAUGAUUUUGUACCUUGGCUUCAAUCAGUUUGGUUAAAACAUUGGCACGUAAGUAUGUGCAAAAUGCUUCAAGCGAGUGCUUUUUUCGAUCAACAUGCGACUUGGCUCCACGAACAUAAUCCAAAGGGUCAUCUUGUAGAGCAAUGGUGAAGGGGACAAGGACAUAUCCAAUCCUAUUGCCCCACUUUGUCUUGGAUUUCUUAGCCAUCAUAUCAGCCAGAUCCUGUUAUAUAUGUGUAAUUAGAGAACAUUGGAGAAAAGUCAUUUGUAUAAAUAUUUACAGAAACGCUGACUAAAUUAUAAGCAUAAGCUUGAGGGUUGAGGAAUGCUAGCUAGCUAGGUAUAUAUUUGAUUACCUGGAUCCCAGCAGCUGAUCGUAAAUUAACGAGAAUAUUUUCUCUAAGCCAGAUGCUUUUUGGAAGAUUGUUUCCCUUCUUCUUUGCUUCCUCAUCUUUCUCAUUUUCACCUGCUGCAAAACACAGAAAUGUGCUAUUAUGUACUGGUGAGUAUUUUGAGGUUUUGACAAAUUUUUUCUCUGGUAUCAGUGAAUAUGAUAAUAUGUAUGAGGAAAUGGAAAAUGAUCAUUAGAAGCUAUAGUUCAACUUAAAUGAUAAGAUGAAUAGAUAAAUCUGUGUUAUGGUUCUAGAAGUUGUACUACCCGAUUUGAAUAGUAGAUCAUACAGAAAGAUACUAUGGGAGGUCUGGUAAUAUGUAAACAGAAACUAAAUAUGAGUCCUAUCAGAUGUUUGAGGCAAUCCCCAUCAGUACAUGGCUCCUAAACCACAUACUUUUAUCAGUUUAUGACGCCAUGACCAAAUGUUAUGGUUUAAACUACUUCUGAAGUUGAAAUCAUGCUUAAAUCAACCCAUAACUUCUUAAUUUGUUAAUAUGUAUAUGAGCAUAUAGAGUAGAAUCAGUUUAAAGCUGGUAUGUUGUUCAUUUCAGCCAAAAUGUUCUUGACAACUACUUAAUUUGCAUGUAUAUCAGUCAUUAUGAAUUUGAAUCGCAGUCAGAGAUAUAUACUGAAUACUAAAACUAUAAGGAUGUCUGGUUGACAUACCAUGUUCAUAGCAUUCUUUACUUGCUUGAUGUGAUCCAAACUAACCGUUCGAUGCAAGAAGCGCUUGGCAGUAAGCUCAACACCAGCCAUUAAUAGGAGUCUUUGUAUCUUUCAAAAACAGAAUAGUGGCAACAAACAGCACAAGAUCAACAAAAGUGUUCCCCAUCAAUGUUACUGCUGACCAAAUAGAACCACCAGAACACGCUCGAAUCACUUGAAGAACUACCCUCAUGUUUCCUCUGGUUUGGACUAGGCAAAGCAUCCGGGUCAGAUGUUUUUCUGGUACAAGCUAGUAGAAGUGACAUGAGGGAUGCACCAUCCCCCAUCGAGUGGUGAAUCCGAAUCACUGCAACGGCUUCUGCAUCAGAGGUUUUGAGGACAUGGACUUCCCAUAUUGGCUCGGAAAGGUCAAGAGGGCUUGUGGUAAGGUGGGAAAUGUAGUCUCUAACAAACUGGUCAGCAUCCACCAUAACAUUGGCAUCUAAGGGGAAAUAAUUGAGGGUCUUUCAUAGCUGAAUAUAGAAAAAAAAAAAAAAAACUAGUCUACAGUGUUUUUGCUUAAAGUGCUACUGCCUGCCAUGCCUAAGGCGACCCUGCCGGCCACUCAUCCAUCCUGUCUGCGCAUGUUGAAGUUCGAUUGGUUUUUGUUCUGUGUUAAAUUUAAUGUCUGCUUCAAUCAUCAAGAUGUAAACUUGACGCACUACUCUUGGAAACAGUUUGUAAUGCUUCUACCUUAUCUGCCAAACUGAACGAAUGUUCUAUUUUGUUAGGUUCCACAUCUGAUAAAUAUGUUUUGACUAUAAAAUCUAUAACCUCCUUUAUGAUAAUAUUAUUAUCUUUUGCAAGUUUGGCAACAUAUUUACUAGUCUUUUCCAGUUCAUCUUGGUAUAUGUCAUACUCUUUUUUGUUAUAUCUGCGUAUAGUUUCAUUCAAAUGUUGUAGGACAUCCUUUUAGUAGUGGAUAAACUCUUUGCCGUCCUUAGAUUAGUAAUGUUUAUAAUUAUCGUACACUUCUUUAAAGAAUUUGGUUGUUUGUACCCCUCUUGUAUGACCUCAUCUAAAAUGUUUCUAUGGUCAGUCGUGGUAUCUUCUAAAUAAGGUCAUCACAUAUUGCUCUUUGUGUAAUCUCAACAUACGCAUUGUACACUAGGAUCCCUUUCUCUUCUGAUGUUAGUAACGAAAGAUGAUAGUAAAUUAUAAUUUUCUAAGUAUCAUGCUUCGUUAUUAACACCAGAAGAGAAAUCUCCGAUGGCUUUUUCCGGUCAGCCUUAGGUAAAUCCACACACUCAUUUACGUUAUCAACUAUUUCUCAUGCAAAAAUACAAACCAAAAACCACCACCACCAUCACCAACCCCAAGACCACCAAGCUAACCCCAAAAACCACCACCAAAAUUCUAGAACUGGCCCAAAACAGGAUCGGGCAUCUUUUUAUUCAUACCCACAAGCCGAGAGCUGCUCCGCUUUCGCCGGAAUCGCUCUCCGGCAAAAACCCAAACUGUCCUGGACCUUUGCUGCCGAAAUCCUUCACGAUUGCAACCCUCGAUUGAACACCACAGAGAAAGACGAUCUAACCCAAUAACACCCCCUCCAGCCAUCACCAUGAAGUUUAAAGGGAAAUUGUAUGUGAUUACUUGAUUAUUGCACCUUACUGCAACUUUUGGACCUUUGAACUUUCAGUUGAAGUUCUUCUUUGAAUACACAAACCAUAGGUGGCGCAUCCUAUCAAAAUUUGUUUUGAUUUUUGUUUAGAAAAAAGAAAGAUUAAAGUAAAGGGGGAGCUAAAGUAAAAUUAGAAAAUAAUGUAUUUUAUUACUAUAAAUACAUAUUAUUAACUAUGGUUAGUGUGGUUAAACAAAAAAAACAUGUGUCAUUCAUUUAGAAAGACGAGGACGAGGGUGGGGAGCAAAUUUGCAUCCCCUUUUUAGGCUAGUCUUCUUGGAUACAAAGUUGUACUAGGUAAAGAGGCUAAUAUUAUAUAAAGGGGUUUAUUCUCUUUUUAAGAGCGUCGUGUUUAUAAUGCCCUAUAGGGUGAUUUUUCAAGUUCCCAACUUUUCUCAGAGAUGGGUAAUUAAGGUUUACUUUUAUUUUUCAAAAAAUAUAUGGUCACAAUAAAAAUAGAAGGUUCAAUCGAUUGAUAGGUAGGAGGUCGAUCCAACGAUACAAAUAAAUACUCGUCUUACCUAAUUAAUUAACUUUUUCUAUUGAAGGGUCAGAGAGAAAUUAUCUUCUCAAAUAAAAUAAAAAGGUCAAAGAGCAAUAUAUGAAACGGUUUUAGUGUUGGUUCAAAAAUUUAUUACGAAGGUUUUUUUUAUAAAAAAUUGUAAUGGAGUUGCGUAGUUAUUGCAAUCCGGCCAUUGAUUCAGUCUCUUGAGUCUCGUCCUUGAUUGACAGUCGUAAUCUUGUAGAAAUAGAGAAGAUUAAUAGUACUCAUAUGCCUUUUAUUUGUUAGGAGAUAAAUGCUCAAAAUAUGUAGCUACAUAUGACCCAAAAUAGCUUAUUUUUUCUUUCAUACAAAAUGGCACGAAUAUUUUUUUUUGAACUUAAAAGACAAUUUUGUCAUUAGAAUCAAGUAGAGGGUACAAUACGAAUCGAUCCGCUGCUAUGCACAUAAAGGACAAGCAAAAUCACCUGAUUCGUAUGAAUGUUGUAUCUUCAUUACAAAUUUCGACUCACAAGGAGCCUAUAAUCUAAUGAAAAUAGAUCAUAGGCAAUUGUUUCUAACUAAAUUAGAGCAAAGAACAAGAAAAUAAAGCUCCCUCAUGUGAAAAGCAUGUACCAAGAGCAAUUGUUCCGCAAUAAACAAAUAACUGAAAUAAAUGCAGAAAGGGAAAUAGAAAAAGACUUCAAAAAACCUCCUUGCCCUUCAAGCUAGGGCUCUGGGGCGCUGCAGGUGGAGGGGUGAUGAUGGGAGGCUUCUCUUCCUCUUGCAUCUUCUUCUUAUCCUUUUUAUUCGUGAACCAACAGGGCGUCUUCUCUUCUUCUUGAAAGGAGCAAAGCCACGAUCUGAGAGAUUGACAACCUUCAAGUUGGUCAAGGCUAGAAAGGGCAGCGAAGGAUCUGAUAACCUCAUCAAUGGACAAAGUUUUGGUCGUUAACGAUGCUUGGCAAGGGUUUUGAAAAUCCAAAAAGGAUGCCAAGUCGAGUGAUGCAGCAAAUGAUCUCGUGACCUCGUCAAUGGAAAAGGUAUGAGAUCCCAUAGUAGAGUUCGACAUAGAGGUCUUCGAACAGGAGGGGGAGGAGGAGGAGACGCCAAGAAAGGCCAUAGUAGGGUUUCCUCUAAGAGAGGACAUCAAUAAGGAUGCAUAUGAGUUUUUGGAGGCUUUCUCUUAAAAAAAUAAACAAAGUAGCACGAAUAUAAGUUAUCUUUCUGUUAAAAAAAUAAACAAAGUGGCACGAAUUACAUGACAUGGCUAAAGAAAUGAUCAAAAACUUCUCUCCCCCCUUUCUGAUUAAUUAAAAAAAAAAAAAAAAAACCUUAGACUUUUCUCUAACUUUAAAGUUUAAACAACUGAGAUCCCUGAAGCCGCCCAUAUUGGCAAACCGAAAUUCUCCAUGUACACCGUAUGACAUGAAUAUGAGUGAAAAAACUUAGUUAGCUUGGUUUUUUGAGACGACCGAUUUAUAUUCAUUGUUGUUUAGUAUCGAACAUGCAAACGAACAGACUUUUCAAAAAUUAUUUUUAUUUUUACUGAUUACAUUUUCUUUUUUAAGAAGAGAUGUUUUUUUAUUUUUUAUUUACUGAUUACAUAAGAUUCAUAAAUUUACUGAUUACCUUUCUAGAAAAAGAAGAGGUUGAAGUUACUGAUUACAUAAGACUAUGAAUCUUUCAAUAUUUUUUGUUGUUGAACUUAUGAAUCUCAUCUUUCAAUAUAUGAAGUACUGAGUAUUUAAAAAAGGAAUUUCAAUAUAUCACCAAUUAUUUAUAACUAUAGGAAAGGCCGGAAGGGGGCUUAAUUUAGCAUUUUGGUUGCUUUCGUCUAGUCAUUGGAAAGGCAAAUGCAUCGUUUUCGCUCCAUUUGUAUACAAGAUAGCGGGGGAAACGGGAGUAAUGUUAAAUGGGUUUAAAUGUUUAAUAUCAAAUAAAUACUCGGGCAUUGUGACUAAUGCUAAAAUGGAAUUAACUUUUGUAGGUCUCUAUUACUGUAUAUGCAUGGACUUCCUGCGUAGGUUUUGAGGUCUUUAUACCGAUGAAUCAGUAUUACCCGUUACAUCACAAAUGGAGGAGGUAUUUACUACUGUCAAUUAAUAUUAACCUACUAUAAAUUAGACCAAGUCCGGGAACGCAGUGAGAAAAGGAACGACAACAGCGCAGUUCCUCAUAUGAUAAGAAGAAAGUGGAACCAGCGGUUUCUGAUACACAAGAUCUUAUCUCGUCGUGUGUAUGAGAUUUGCGAAAACAAGUAAUUUAUCUCCUUUGUUGGUUUUAAUUUCUAUGUUCAUCAAGCAAUCUUUUGUCCAGGUCUGAUCCUUAUCUCAGGUUUAUGUGAGACAGUCGGGAACAACAGGGAGAGGGAAGAUUAGUUUCUCAGAUAAAAAGGAGAUCUCAGAUAAAAAGGAGAGAGAUGGAUUAGUUUCUCAGUUAAACAGGAGAGAGAAGGACUAGGUUUGAGGUGAGUUCUUUGUUUGUUUAUUUUGUUUUAUCUGUUCAUCAACUGAUCUCUUGUUGGGUGUGGUUUCUCUAUGAGACAUGAAUCCUUAACCCUUUUGAUUUUGAUUUCUAUGCUCACCAAACAAUCUCUUGUCCAUGUCUGAUUGUAUUUGACUUGUUUUCUAAUCUCAGGUUAUGUGACAAGGAGAUUAGUUUCUAGCUCAGAUAAAAAGGAAAGGGAUGAAUUAGUGUCUCAAAUAAAAAAGAGAUGCGAGUAGUUCAUAUUCAGUAGGUUUGAGGUGAGAACUUUCUUUUGUUUGUGUUGAUGCAUCUGUUCAUCAACAGAUCUCUUGUUGAGGUGUGGUUUCUUGUCAAUUCAUGUUUUGUAGGUUACAUCAUAGUUUUCUGAAAAAUCUCUUGUUUCUUUUAUCCUUUUAAUUUUAGCGUUCAGAUUGAAUUUAUUUUUCCUUCCUGAUUUCAUUUCAAGUAUAUGAAAGAGUUUUAAUAGAAUCCCCAAUUUUAUUUUUAUUUUUAGCUAUUCAUAUCAUGAUUGUUUCUUUGACUGGGAACUGUCUUUUUAUUUCUUAUUUCUGUUUGUUCCAUGCUGAACUCCACUAUGCCAAAACUGGAAUAAAUGUUCUGCUAAAGGCUCCUCAAGGAGGAAAAAUUGAUGUUUUUGGUUUCACAUAACUUUUAUUGUCUAAGACUGAAUAUGAUCUAAAACUUGGGAAAAUUAUAAACUCAAAAUAUAGAGGUAGAGAGCAUCCUGAUUUCCAGAAUGAAACGCCGAGAGGCUAGCAAUAACUGUCCUUGUGUCUUUCACCAUAACAUUGGGAAAUAAUUGAGGGUCUUUCGUAGCUGAAUACAGGGGAAACAAAUAAAACUGUACAGAGUUUCUGCUUAAAGUGCUACUUCCUGCCCCCUGCUGGCCACGCCCAAAUCCACCCUGCUGGCCACGCCCAAAUCCACCCUGCUGUGCUUGCUGAAGUUUGAUUGGUUUCUCUUCUGUGUUAAAUUCAAGGCCUGCUUCAAUCAUGAAGAUAUAAACUUGACGCAUUAUUCCUGAAAACAGUUUUUCUAAUGCUUUUACCUUCUCUGCGAAACUUAAUAAAGGUACUAUUUUCAUGGGUUCCACACCUGAUAAGUAUGUGUUGACCAAAAAAUCUAUUGUCUCCUGGAAGGUAAUUCUGUUUUUUUCUGCAAUUUCAGCUACAUAUUUAUAUGCCUCUUUCACGUCAUAUUGGUAUCUAUCAUACUCUCUCUUAUUGUACCUGCGGAUAGUCUCAUUCAAAUGCUGCAGGACAUCUUUAUAGUAGUGGAGGAACCCCUUCCCGUCCUUGGUGUAGUAAUGCUUGUAAUCAUCAUAGACUUGUUUGAAGAACUUGGCCGCUUGUACCCCCUCUUGUAUGGCCUCAUCUAAAAUGGUUUCUAUGGCCAGUCGUGGUAUCCUCUGAAUAAGGCCAUUCCAUAUUCCUCUGUGGGUUGUAGCUCUUUGUGUGAUCUCAACGUACACAUUAUACACUAGGAUUCCUUUCUCCUCUGGUGUUAAUAACGAAGGAUGAUAAUACAAUUUUCUAAGUUUGUUCCUGCAUGAAUGAGAAAUAAAACCAAUAUGUUAUGCUGAACAACCAAUAUUUGUUUAUGUUUUUUGUCAAGUUAUGCAACACUUCAAAUAAAAAAGAUUACUUACACAUCGUUUUCUACUCUUGCUAGCAGGUUAAGAAAAUGAUUGAAGUCUCCCGGAUAGCAGUGUUCCUUUGGAUGAAGCUUUUCGGCCAAUCGGAAUAGGCAUGCUGGGUACAUUUCUAAAGUCUGGUAUGCUUCAUGGGUUCUGUCUGCAAUCUGCUUUAUUUUAUACCUUCCUCCGAUGUUGUCAAUGUCUAGUUUGCCUGAACAGUCUCCUUUUCUCAUCCUAUUGACGCAGUGGAAAAUAAGAUCCCUGUCAAGGCAGAUUGAUAAGUUAUUACCAUAUUAUUAUGUAUAUAGUUUUGAUUUGUAAUGUAGCAGAUUGAUAAGUUAGCAGACCAGUAAUAAGGUAGCAGAUUGAUCAGUUGAUACCAUAUCAUAUAUACUUUCAAAUCAAUUGGUAAAUGAUCAAGAUAUAUCUAUGCAAAGAAAGACAUGCAGUCAACAGAUGCAACUUUUCACAUAUGCAUACACGAUUAAAUUGCUUUUCUAAUAAUAGAAUUUUAAGAAAAAAUGAUUAAUUGACCCCUUGCAAUUUACAGGACAUGGAAGAAUCAAUUUCUACAUCUGAUACUAUAGAAUUAUUUGAUCUGCUGCUAGCCUGCUAUGUACAAGUUCUAUGCUAACAAUUAUAACAAGUACUAGUUGUUUGAUGUCUUAUUCAUUGCUAAAGACUUGAUGUUUCAUUGUUCUUGUUGUAAACGGUUAUGAUCAACUACUGUCUACAACGUACGAUGACAAAGUUAUGGUAUUUAGAUGAAAAACUGAAUACUGUAUUGUUUUUAUUAUUUGAAGACAUAUGAAAGCUGGAGAUUACAGACAGACAUGUAUUGUUUUUUUUACCUCUUUAGCUUUUGUGGCCUUUCAAGUGGUACCAAGUAAGGAACCCAAUUCCCAAUUGGCUCUCACUCUUGAUUGGUAGUGGUAUAUCAUUUUCAUGCAAGGUAAUUGGUUUAUGCAAUCCAAAAUCAAAAUGACAUAAUCAUACAAAUCCUUUUUAUGUAUUAUACUGUGGUGUAAAGGCUUUCAUACAAAGGAGGCAUAGUAAGGAUCAAUUCUAGACUUGCAACAGUCUCCAUCAAGCAGAAGAAUGCAACGUUAACUCUACAAUACACCUGCCAAACUCCAAAAGGAAGAGAGGAAAACCUACAAAGUUUGAUCUCUUUUGGGUUGAUACAAGUCUGGAUCUUAGUGGAUCAGGGCCAAUCUGGAAUUGGGCUCCGGCCCAACCCAAGAUAGGACAGAGGAAUAUAUAUACCUAAAAUGGGAUGCUAGAUUGUGUUUGUGAACUAAACAAAACCCUACUCGGAGAUCUUGCAAGUCCUCGAGCCAUGUCGUAUCCUCAGGAGAAUGAUCUUCGCUCCAUACGGGUCGACGGCUUGCCGCCGAAGAUGGAUGAGAUCUACCUCUUCAGCUGUUUCCAUGACAACGCAGAGGUAUCUCUCUAUUUAUAUAUUUAUUUCUGAGGUUUUGGAAAAAUUAUUGAAAUUCUCUGUAGGUUUUGGCUGCAACGGUUUUGCGUAAUCGGCGAUCAGGAGUGCCGCUAGAUUAUGGUUUCGUGGAGUUUGCUUCUCACAGCGAUGCUGAAUUUGUCUUGGAUUUCUACAAUGGUGAGCGCAUGCCCAACUUCAUUCAUGAGAGAUUCUGCCUCAGCUGGGACACCGAUGGUUCCGGUACAUUCUGGCGCUUGGAUUCUACCUACCGAGAUUGCUCUUUCUUUGGUUAUGAUGAAAAAGACAAUAUCAAGGAUGCCAAGUCAGUGAUUGAGCUCUACAAGGACUCCAUAACUUCUGCUCUUAAUAGAAAGCGAGCUUAUUUGCAAUGUAUGUAUUCUAGACUUCUCACUGCAUACAUAUAUCAACUUGUAUUUCAUUCUCUAUUAAUGUUUUAAAAUUAUACACUUAUGUUCAUGUGCAUCCUUUACAUUACAAGUAGCCAUGUUUGGAAAGCUACUCAGGUUGGGGAAAUGUUAUUUAGUGUUGCAUGCAAAACUGUAUAACGAUUCAAUUGUUUGAGUUGAGAUGUACCGUUUUUAUUUUAAAACUAUGUCGAGUGCUCUAGUGUGUGCAUAUAUGUGUUUCUGAGUAUGUGCAUAUGUAAUCUUAAUAACUGCCUUCACUAGCGUUUACGUGCUCUCAUGUUGUGCAGCUGCCUGCCCAAAUACGUGUGGAGAUUCAGGGGACACAGAAAACCAGCUAGAUCAUGCAAAGUCGAAUGGUUUAAGUCCUGCUGGCUAUAUGGAAACGGAUGUUGACAAGCGUUUGAAGCUUACGGACAUGCCUCUCACUCAUCCUAACAUGUAUCAACAAGGAUGUUCCGGCCCUAAUCUUACAAACCAACAGGUUGUUUUUUCAGACCUUUUAUAUAUCCUCCUUGGCUCUUUUCAUUGAUACAUGUUAACAGCCUUUUCUUUGUUGAUUCAGAACCAACCAGACCCGAUGCAGUGGGAUGGUGGUUGUGGUGCUGGAUAUGUUAAUGACCAAGUUCCUAAGGGAGCUCUGGAAAUGGUUUCCUCGAUGAAGGAGGAGAAGGAGCUGUAUCUUGGUUUCGAAGAAGUCAACUAUCGAAGAAGUUGUUACGUCUUCCGCACCAUCAAACUGUCUGAGUUAUUGGUUUGCUCUUGUAACUUCAAUAUGGAUGCUCGUGAAAUUACCGGGUGCGUCAAUUGUGCCCCCAAAACCAAACAGAAAUCGCAGUUGCGCCAGCGGGCUUGGCUCUUCACCGGGGAGAAAGUCCCGGAAAGCUGCGGCAGCAAAGAGGUGAAAAUCCCAACGCGUAUGGGUUCCUGUGCCUACGGCUCCCGAAUCAUCUUCGCCGGUGGCUUGGUUCCCCGACCAGAUGAGGAAACAACAAUGACGGCAGCCCAUGUGCCUUGUGGAGAUGUGUAUAGUUUUGAGCCGGAGUCUAGUGUGUGGAAAAGGCUUGAUUGGAGUAUCCCGAAGGCGAAACCAGAGCCCUUGCUUUUUGAGGUGAACGGAAAUCUCUAUUGUCUUGCCGGUGCUCCUCAUGAACCCUCUUUCGAGGUAUACGAUAGCAGUUCUCGUGAAUGUUUGUUUCUGCCGCAUCCUCCAGAUAGCAUUCCGGAACUAGGCAAUUGGCAUGGUUUUGUACAUUACAGGUCUUUUAAUAGAUUGGCUUGUGCUAUUGUUGGAUCCAAGAUCUUGAUCUCGAGCAUGGGGAACGUGCCAGCCUAUUACAUUCCCAUUAUCUGCUUCGACGUGAAUGACAAGAAACAGAAAUGGAGAAUGAUGACUUCCUUGUUCGAUGGUAAGCCUUUUCCUUUCGAUGGCAGGGCAUUAGUCUUGGACUUGGAUGAUGGUACACAUGAUAAGGUCAUGUUCUCUUUUCGUAAUGAGGGUGAGAUAUCUGUCUCUCGAUUAGUAGUGGAUGAUGAUGGCGAUAUAAGCAUCUCUUACGAAGGAUGGUUGGGGAUUUUUCGCUUGCUCUGUACCUUCGUGUGUAAACAUUCUCCACCGUCAUACACCUUUGUCGAUCUUGGAGAUAAAACUGUUGCCUUUGUUGUGUGUGCAAACAUGUUUUCUGGGGUAAAGGCUCUUGGGAAGGUGCGUGUUGUUGUCAUAGUCAUUUGCUAUGAUGUGUUGGGCUCAAAAAGAAUCACAAGUGAGAUCCUGGC
rnacentral:lncRNA from 1 species